GUUAGAAUGACGCGCAGGGACAAAAGUGCUUCGUUUCCUCUUUGUGGUAGUUUCUUCGUUCAUUCACGACGUCGGUGUUUACUGCCUAUUGCAAGCGAGUCGCUUGAGGAACUAUCCGAGUGACACACAGCACAAGCAGCCUCAGGGGAGCCCCAGGUGUGCUCUCCACAGGCUGCUUGUGCUGUGUGUCACUCGGAUAGUUCCUCAAGCGACUCGCUUGCAAUAGGCAGUAAACACCGACGUCGUGAAUGAACGAAGAAACUACCACAAAGAGGAAACGAAGCACUUUUGUCCCUGCGCGUCAUUCUAACCAUGGAUUGUGGGUCCUGAGGUGUGUGAGGGGCUGUGGUGUGUGUGUCCUGAGAUGUGUGAGAGGCUGUAUAUGUGUCCUGAGAUGUGUGAGGUGUUGUGUGUGUGUCCUGAGGUGUGUGAGGGUUGUGUGUGUCCUGAGGUGUGUGAGGUGUUGUGAGUCCUGAGGUAUGUGAGGGGUUGUGUGUGUGUCCUGAGGUGUGUGAGGGUUGUGUGUAUUCUGAGGUGCAUGAGGGGUUGUGUGUGUCCUGAGGUGUGUGAGAUGUUGUGUGUGUGUCCUGAGGUGUGUGAGAGGUUGUGUGUGUCCUGAGGUGUGUGAAAGUUGUGUGUGUCCUGAGGUGUGUGAGGGUUGUGUGUGUGUGUCCUGAGGUGUGUGAGGUGUUAAGUUGUGUGUGUCCUGAGGUGUGUGAGGUGUUAAGUUGUGUGUGUCCUGAGGUGUGUGAGGGUUGUGUGUGUGUCCUGAGGUGUGUGAGGGUUGUGUGUCCUGAGGUGUGAGAGGGUUGUGUGUGUGUCCUGAGGUGUGUGAGGGGUUAUGUGUGUCCUGAGGUGUGUGAGGGUUGUGUGUGUGUCCUGAAGUGUGUGAGGUGUUGUGUGUGUGUCCUGAGGCGUGUGAGGGUUGUGCGUUUCUUGAGGUAUGUGAGGGUUGUGUGUGUCCUGAGGUGUGUGAGGGUUGUGUGUGUUUCCUGAGGUGUGUGAGGGUUGUGUGUAUUUCCUGAGGUGUGUGAGGGUUAUGUGUGUAUUUCCUGAGGUGUGUGAGGGUUAUGUGUGUGUCCUGAGGUGUGUGAGAGUUGUGUGUGUGUCCUGAGGUGUGUGAGGGUUGUGUGUGUGUCCUGAGGUGUGUGAGGUGUUGUGUGUGUGUCCUGAGGUGUGUGAGGGUUGUGUUUGUUUCUUUGCUCCUCUCAGGUUCCGUUCUGAGUUCCUGAAUGUAUCCUCCGUCUACAGGAGAGAGGGGGCUCUGGUCCUGACUUGGCUUCCUCCUGUCUUUGCUGAUGGAAGCUGGGUUUUGAUGAGAAACUUCUCCUGGCAUGCUAAGGUCUACUCACAGCAAAUGUAAAGUCUUAGAGGUCGAAGGCCUUGAUAACUGCCUUUCCUGACCUUGCACUGUUUCUAGUGAGUUUAAUUUAAUACAAAGCAAAACAAGUUUGAUGAUAGCCUCUGGCUGACUGCUGGAACCCACCACGCACAGGAAUUCAUGACUGAGUGACAGCAGGAGCACUUCCCUCAUCACACAUGAUGCGCAGGCCACCCAGCGAGGCACUUCAUCUCCAGGUUGACAGUUCCUGGCUGACUCGGGUCUGCCACCUGGAAGAGCGUCUGUAAUUCUGUAUUGUGGAACAGAAAACAAUGUGCAGAAUACAUUCUUUAAAACAGAAGUACAAAGUAC
rnacentral:lncRNA from 1 species